UUUAAUGUAAGACCGAGAUUUGGCCAUCGACACGUAUUGGAAAGACCAUGUGUAACGACCCGUUUCCGGUAUGUUAAUUAAUUUGAUUUGGGCUAAGUUUUCAAGAGGGACUCGGCGAGUUCUAGCCUGACUCGCCGAGUCAGGACGCGCAUCUUGUGCACGCGGGAGCCGGCGACUCGGCGAGUCCAUAUCCUGGACUCGGCGAGUCCGUCCGUCUGGGUGAAACCCUAACUCCCCGGGUUUGCUCACUAUUUAAACCCCAUUAUAGCCUCCAUCUUGUCACUUUCCCCCUGAGAGCACUGUGAGAAACCCUAAACCUUCCUCUUGUGAGCUUAUAAGUGAUCUUGUUCCAUUUUGUGAAGGGGUGAAGAAGGAGAAGAAGAAGGAAGCAAGGAAACGAGUUCUAGUGCCAAGAUCCAAGACCAAGUGUGAACUUAUUGAGGUAUUUUCGGAGUUCUCUUCUGGUUUCAUGCUUAAACUUCCAUUAGAGCUCUUUUAAGGGCUAUUUGAUGCUUGUUCCAAGCUUUAUGCUUGCUUGAUUGUGUUAUUGAGCCGAUAUACCUUUGGAUCUGAGUGUUGGGGUGUUGAAGAGUCCAGAUCCACUGUCUUUUUGGAGUUACAUUGCUUAUUAGCCAUGGAUCUACCCUUAUUGUGCAUAUUUUAGUCUUAUUUCCCUCAUUCAUGUGGUUGUGCACGUAAAGUUGGAAACUUUACGUGGUAAAACAGCUUAAUGGACCUAGAUCUAUCAUUUGCAUGUGUUGGAUUCAAGAGAAAUCGAGUAAAAAUAUGUUGCAUGGCGGCGACUCGGCGAGUCGGAGGAACGACUCGACGAGUCAGGUCGCGAGUCCCGAGUUCUUCAGUUUCUUCAGUGUCGAGUGUCCGAGGUGAGUUAGGGAGUGGACUCAGCGAGUUAAGAGUAGACUCAGUAAUGGAGGGACUCGGCGAGUUUGUUCAUACAACUCGGCGAGUCCAAGGCAAUCUCCUUGAGGAUUAAGAACAACUCGUCGAGUCUGUUCAUCUGACUCGGCGAGUCGGAUGAAGAUCAUCUGAGUUUUUGGAUCCAGAGGGUACUCGUCGAGUCGAUGCCACACUCGACGAGUAACAGCUGGUAAGAGUUGAACGGAGAGUCUAGGACUCGGCGAGUCGGGUAUCCCGACUCGGCGAGUCAGCCCUGAGUAAGUCAACUUUGACCAAGGGUAAAAGAGUCAUUUUACCCUGAGUGUAGUGCUAGUGAUUGAUUGAGUGUGUUUAUGGAUUUGUAGCCGAGGAGAUUCAGGAGCAGCAGCCGUUAGCUUUCCGAGCUGCACUCUCAUCCGCUAGCUUACGAGGUGAGUUUCCUUUCCGUAGGGGCGGGUCUAAGGCCACAAUGCCGGCCCGUCCAGUUAAUAGUAGUUUCCGGACUUCGGUCCGAUGUAGUAGUUAGUAUGUUUGAUGCCUUCGUGGUUCAGACAUGUUUUAUGUGCUAUGUGUAUGUGUUUAUGUUCCGGGCCACGGCCCGAUGCAGUAUGCAGUAUAAAUUGUUAUGAUAUGCUAUGCUAUGUGCAGUCAGUCCCGGACCUCGGUCCGAUGCAGGGGACACGGUCCCAGUUAGUUCCGGACUUCGGUCCGAUGCAGUCAGUUCCGGACUUCGGUCCGAUGCAGUUAGUUCCGGACUUCGGUCCGAUGCAGUCAGUUCCGGACUUCGGUCCGAUGCAGUUAGUUCCGGACUUCGGUCCGAUGCAGGGGACAAGGUCCCAGUCAGUUCCGGACUUCGGUCCGAUGCAGUUUUCCGGGUCCCGACCCGAUGCAGUGGGCAAGGCCCAAUAUGUGUUUAUAUGUUGUUGUAUGGUAUGUGGUAAGUUGGGGGAGCUCACUAAGCUUCGUGCUUACAGUUUCAGUUUUGGUUUCAGGUACUUCCGCAAGCAAAGGGAAGAGCUCUGGAUGACGGCAUCGCACACACCACCGUUUCAGCUUUAGUUUGGAUUUGAUUUAGUUGUUGUUUUGGAUAUAGCAUGUUACAUUUUCCGCACAGUACUUUAUUAUCUUUUGGGACAUAUCACGCAUGGUUUAUCUAUAUGAUACUCUGAUUAUAGUUUUGAUGGUAUUAAAAACGAAAUUUUUGGGUCGUAUUUUUGGGUCGUUUCAAGUUGGUAUCAGAGCCCUGGUUUGAGGGAUUCGGAUACACUCUCGGGUGUAUCUGAACUCAAACUAAAGGGAAAUAAAAGAUUUUUAAUAAAAUGUUUUUACAAAAGAAUUUUGAAAACACUUAGAAGGAAAAGAAUUGUUUUAAGAAAAAGGUGUGUGCAUGCGGUCAACCGAGCUCAAGUAAGUACUCCCAAAUUACCCAUACAAGUUAUUUGUUCAAUUUCAGUUUAGUAGAACAGCAUGCUAGAAUAGGACUAAGGGUGUAGGAGAACGCCUUAUGUGCCUGCUUAUGUGUUACAGCUCUAUGAAUAUUGCAUGCUAGAAUUGAGUAGACAGCAGUAGGAUAGCCUGUUUAGGUUACGCCUGAUCGUAUGAGCUUAGCAUCCUAUGCUAGUGCAGUUUCUUGUUAUAAGAAUAGCUUGCGUGAGUCUGUUUCCCUUGUCCGAAUGCUGCUUGCUUUGUGCUUAGUGGGAUUCCGAGUAAUGGGAGUUAGCCAUUAGGUGGACACGUCACACCACAUGUAAUCAGGUUUGAAUAAUCCCAGAGUGCUGGAACUGGCCCUACUGCGCAGCUCUUGUUUGAGUCCAACCGUUGUAGGGACGGAUCUUUUACUUGAAGGAUUAUCCGAUCCUCAUCACAUGUGAUGGUGUUCAGGUGAUGGCUAACUGGCAGUGCAAGGAGACCUACAGCAGCUGAGGACCAGUCGUAUUGAGCUCGAGUUUUCUCUAGGGCAAGCCUAGGGUGAGAGUAGCAGGGAAUAGCAGCAGUAGAAGUGACUUGGGGAAGUCGAGGCAGUUCUUGAGGAAAGUAUGGAUAGAUGUGGAAGGUAGUAGGGGCCCAUACUACUGGAAGCAGAGGAUCCGUAUUCGAAUCAAGGAAGGCCAAGAUUAGACCAGGAAGCUAGUAGUCGUAUCAUGAUCCCUUGAAAUAUUUCAAUGUUCUGAUGUUGUUAUGAUAUGUUUCAGAAUGGUAGUUUUGCGUCCGAGGCCAGCAGCCGGCAGUUCAGAUGCCGGAGGAGGAUCAGGAUCGGGAUCCGACCCGGAGGUCGGACAGAUCGAUGAGCAGACCAGAGAGUUCCUUUCUUCUGAGAUUACUCGCAUCAUACUUGAGCAGACUCCUGUGAUCUUCGGUUCGAUCAAGGAGGGCAUUUUGGAGAUGAUGGAUGAGAGACUGAGUACCUUCCGUACUGAGAUGGCGGCCGUGAUGGGGUCGCGCACACUCACUUUCAGGGAGUUCAGGGCAUGCGGGGCUCCUGACUAUCACGGGGCACGGGACCCCAUAGCGAGUACCAGGUGGUUGGCGGAUGUGGCCAACGCAUUCCGCACUAGCAGAUGUCCCGAGGGGGACAAGGUCAGAUUGGCGUCCUGUCUCCUGAAGGACAGGGCACGUGACUGGUGGGAGGAGGUAGGACAUACCAUCGGGGAUGAUGCGGCAUUGGAUGCCAUGACCUGGGCUGAUUUUUCUACCAGGUUCAGAGCGGAGUUCGCACCGGUCAUUGAGGUGCAACAGUUAGCCAGGGAGUUCCAGGAUCUUACCCAGACUACCGAGACAGUGGCGGAGAUCACCGCCAAGUUCAGGGAGCGGGCCCUUCUUGUUCCUCAGUAUGCAGCAGACGAGGAGAUGAAGAAGGCCCGUUAUCACGAGAUGUUGCGGAGCGACAUUCGUAUGUUUGUGAGCCGGUCCAGUUGCAAAACACUGGACGACAUGAUUGCUAGAGCCAGAGAGAGGGAGAUUGAUCUCGAGAUGGAGAGGAAGAGGAAACCGGAGGCGGUUUCGGGUGCAGGCAGUGUGGGCAAAAAGCCCAAGGUUUCAGAUCACAGGUCCAGGGGUCAGCAGAGCCACGGUCGAUGUGGCAAGUGUGGGAGGUUGCACGAGGGGGCGUGCAAGGCAGGGAGUUCCGGCUGCUACAAGUGCGGUCGGACCGGGCAUAUGAGUAGGGAUUGUACGGCCCCUGCCACUACGGUUACAGCAUCGGAUCUGAUUUGCUUUCAGUGCAAUCAGAGGGGACACAAAAGGUCCCAGUGUCCCAGUUUAGCUGCAGCAGGGAAGGUGCAUGCACCCGCCCCUGCUACUUUGAGGAUCACGGAUGGCCGUCAGGGCCGAGCUGAUGCGCCGGUGGCGAAGAGCAGGGCAUUUCAGAUGACAGCAGAGGAGGCGCGAGCGACUCCUGAUGUGGUGACGGGUAUGUAUAUUUCUUUCAUCUCUUAAUUAUUAAUAUAUCGUUUGAAUAUUAUUUGAUGGUACGCUUUAUUUAGGGUCGUUCUCGGUGAACGGCAUCCCUGCUUUGGUAUUGUUUGACUCGGGGGCCACCCGAUCAUUUGUAUCGCUUGCGCUUAGCAAGAGAUUUAGCAGAGCUCCGGGGGAACUGGAUUGUCCGUUAGAGGUUGAGAUAGCAGAUGAUAGGACCGUGAGGGUCGACAAAGUAUAUAGAGGGUGUUCCCUUCAGAUAUUUGAGGAGCAGUUUUCAGUGGAUUUGGUUCCGAUUCCCCUGCGCGGGAAUAAAGUUAUUGUGGGAAUGGAUUGGCUAAGCCCCAAUGGGGCGGUGAUUGAUUGUGAGCUUCAGCUAGUGAGGGUUCGCACUCCCAGUGGGGGAGAGAUAGUGGUUCAGGGCGAGAGGCCCCAGCGAGGAUUGACCUUCUGCUCUGCCGCUAGGGCGAGGCGCUACGUUCAGCAGGGUUGCGCCGGUUAUGUAGCCUACGUCUUGGAUGCCCGGGAUAAGGGCAAGACGACGAUCGAUGAUGUUCCUAUUGUUCGAGAUUACCCGGAUGUGUUUCCCGAGGAUUUGCCGGGGAUACCUCCUGAGAGGCAGGUUGAGUUCAGGAUCGACCUGGUUCCUGGUGCGGCUCCGAUAGCCAAAGCACCAUAUCGACUUGCUCCCCCUGAGAUGCAGGAGUUGUCUACACAGCUUCAGGAGCUGUUAGACAAGGGUUUCAUUCGACCGAGCAGUUCGCCUUGGGGAGCGCCGAUCUUAUUUGUGAGGAAGAAAGACGGGUCGCAUCGGAUGUGUAUUGAUUACCGGGAGUUGAACAAGGUAACGGUGAAGAACCGUUACCCACUUCCGAGGAUAGAUGACUUGUUUGAUCAGCUCCAGGGAGCGUCUUGGUUCUCCAAGAUCGACCUACGCUCCGGUUACCACCAGAUGAGGGUCAGGGAUGAGGAUGUACAGAAGACUGCUUUCAGGACCCGGUAUGGUCAUUAUGAGUUUGUGGUGAUGCCAUUUGGGCUCACCAAUGCCCCAGCCGCGUUCAUGGAUCUCAUGAACCGCGUGUGUAGACCGAUGCUGGAUCGGUCAGUGAUAGUGUUCAUCGAUGACAUCUUGGUGUAUUCCAAGACGCAGGGACAGCACGAGGAGCACCUGCGGGAGGUGUUGGAGACUUUGAGGAGGGAGAGACUGUUCGCUAAGUUCUCCAAGUGCGAGUUCUGGUUACGCGAGGUGCAGUUUCUUGGGCAUCUCGUUAAUCAGAAGGGUAUUUUGGUUGACCCGGCCAAGAUUGAGGCCGUGAUGCAGUGGGAGGUCCCGAGGUCUCCAUCUGAGAUUCGGAGCUUCCUAGGAUUGGCAGGGUAUUAUCGGAGGUUUAUUCAGGAUUUCUCCAAGAUAGCAGUGCCGCUCACCCGACUAACCAAGAAGUCGGUAGUUUUUCGUUGGGGGCCUGAGCAGCAGGCGGCGUUCGAGACUCUCAGGCAGAGAUUGUGCGAGGCUCCGAUCCUUACCUUGCCAGAGGGUGUUGAGGAUUUCGUGGUCUAUUGUGAUGCUUCGAUCACAGGUAUGGGAGCAGUGUUGAUGCAGCGAGGCCAUGUGGUGGCUUAUGCUUCGAGACAGUUGAAGCCUCACGAGGCUAAUUAUCCUACCCACGACUUGGAGCUGGGGGCAGUUGUAUUUGCCCUCAAGAUUUGGAGGCAUUACCUGUAUGGGGUCCGCUGUACUAUCUACACGGACCACAAGAGUUUACGAUACCUUAUGGAUCAGCCGAGUUUGAAUAUGAGACAGAGGAGAUGGUUGGACGUGCUGAAGGACUAUGACUGUGAGAUCCUGUAUCAUCCAGGGAAGGCCAACGUGGUGGCCGAUGCCCUGAGCCGCAAGGUGUCGGCGGCCCCUAUCAGGGAUUUGUGUAUGAGGAUGACGGUAAUCACUCCUUUGUUGGAGCGGAUCAAGGAGGCUCAGAUGGAGGGUCUCAAGGAGGAGAGGCAGAAGUGCGAGAGGAUAGUGGGUCGAGUAGCUUCGUUCGACUACGACAGUCGGGGUUUGAUGACGCUUCAUGGUAGGGUGUGGGUACCGUACUGGGGUGGGGUACGGCAGGUAUUGAUGGACGAGGCUCAUAAGUCUCGAUUUUCUAUCCAUCCAGGGGCGACGAAGAUGUAUCGAGAUCUUCGACCUGAUUAUUGGUGGCCCUGCAUGAAGCGGGACGUCGCUUGGUACGUUGAGAGGUGCUUGACCUGCCGGAAGGUCAAGGCGGAGCACCAGAGACCUCACGGCAAGAUGCAGCCGUUGGAUAUUCCCGUGUGGAAAUGGGAGGACAUCACCAUGGAUUUUAUCACCAAACUUCCCAGGACCGCACGUGGAGUAGAUUCGAUAUGGGUAGUGGUGGAUCGGUUGACGAAGAGUGCCCAUUUUAUUCCGAUCCAGGAGAGUAUAUCGGCGGAAAGGUUAGCCGAUAUCUAUGUGCGAGAGAUUGUGGCACGUCAUGGAGUGCCGGUAUCGGUAGUGUCGGACCGAGAUGUUCGCUUCACGUCCAGAUUCUGGAAGCGGUUUCACGACGAGAUGGGUACUCGUCUCCAUUUCAGCACCGCUUUUCAUCCUCAGACUGACGGGCAGAGCGAGAGGACGAUUCAGACUCUCGAGGACAUGCUUAGGGCAUGCGUCCUGGAUUUUGGGGGCUGUUGGGAUACGUAUCUUCCCUUAGCGGAAUUCUCGUAUAACAACAGCUAUCAUGCGAGCAUUGAUCGACCUCCUUUUGAGAUGUUAUAUGGCAGGAAGUGCAGGACCCCGAUUUGUUGGGGCGAGGUCGGUCAGCGGGUCAUGGGGAGCACCGAAGUGGUGCUCAAGACGACGGAACUGAUCCAGCAGGUCCGUAGUAGACUGCAGACUGCGCAGAGUCGGCAGAAGAGCUACGCCGACAGGAGGCGUUCAGACUUGGAGUUCCAGGUGGGAGACAUGGUUCUUCUGAAAGUCUCACCUUGGAAAGGUGUCAUCAGGUUCCGGAAGAGGGGCAAAUUGGGCCCCAGAUUUAUUGGUCCUUUCAGGGUUUUGGCCCGGGUGGGUCGGGUUGCUUAUCGGUUAGAUCUUCCUGAGGAGCUCAGUUUGAUACACAACACCUUCCACGUGUCGCAGUUGAGGAAGUGUUUAGUGGACGAGACAGCGGUCGUUCCCUUGGAGGAUAUCCAGGUCGAUAGCGGCUUGAAUUAUAUCGAGAAACCGAUAGCAAUUUUGGAACGGAAGACCAAGACCUUGAGGAACAAGGUAAUUCAGCUGGUAAAGGUGCAGUGGCAGCAUCGGAAGGGGUCUGAAUGGACAUGGGAGGCUGAAGAAGAAAUGAGAACGCACUACCCGGAGUUAUUCGCAGAUCCAGCCGUAGCAGACUUCGAGGACGAAGUCUGAAACAAGUGGGGGAGAAUUGUAACGACCCGUUUCCGGUAUGUUAAUUAAUUUGAUUUGGGCUAAGUUUUCAAGAGGGACUCGGCGAGUUCUAGCCUGACUCGCCGAGUCAGGACGCGCAUCUUGUGCACGCGGGAGCCGGCGACUCGGCGAGUCCAUAUCCUGGACUCGGCGAGUCCGUCCGUCUGGGUGAAACCCUAACUCCCCGGGUUUGCUCACUAUUUAAACCCCAUUAUAGCCUCCAUCUCGUCACUUUCCCCCUGAGAGCACUGUGAGAAACCCUAAACCUUCCUCUUGUGAGCUUAUAAGUGAUCUUGUUCCAUUUUGUGAAGGGGUGAAGAAGGAGAAGAAGAAGGAAGCAAGGAAACGAGUUCUAGUGCCAAGAUCCAAGAUCAAGUGUGAACUUAUUGAGGUAUUUUCGGAGUUCUCUUCUGGUUUCAUGCUUAAACUUCCAUUAGAGCUCUUUUAAGGGCUAUUUGAUGCUUGUUCCAAGCUUUAUGCUUGCUUGAUUGUGUUAUUGAGCCGAUAUACCUUUGGAUCUGAGUGUUGGGGUGUUGAAGAGUCCAGAUCCACUGUCUUUUUGGAGUUACAUUGCUUAUUAGCCAUGGAUCUACCCUUAUUGUGCAUAUUUUAGUCUUAUUUCCCUCAUUCAUGUGGUUGUGCACGUAAAGUUGGAAACUUUACGUGGUAAAACAGCUUAAUGGACCUAGAUCUAUCAUUUGCAUGUGUUGG
rnacentral:lncRNA from 1 species